rnacentral:rRNA from 1 species
GAUGAACGCUGGCGGCGUGCCUAAUACAUGCAAGUCGAGCGAACGGACGAGAAGCUUGCUUCUCUGAUGUUAGCGGCGGACGGGUGAGUAACACGUGGAUAACCUACCUAUAAGACUGGGAUAACUUCGGGAAACCGGAGCUAAUACCGGAGAAUAUUUUGAACCGCAGUGGUCAAAAGUGAAAGACGGUCUUGCUGUCACUUAUAGAUGGAUCCGCGCUGCAUUAGCUAGUUGGUAAGGUAAAGGCUUACCAAGGCAACGAUGCAUAGCCGACCUGAGAGGGUGAUCGGCCACACUGGAACUGAGACACGGUCCAGACUCCUACGGGAGGCAGCAGUAGGGAAUCUUACGCAAUGGGCGAAAGCCUGACGGAGCAACGCCGCGUGAGUGAUGAAGGUCUUCGGAUCGUAAAACUCUGUUAUUAGGGAAGAACAUAUGUGUAAGUAACUGUGCACAUCUUGACGGUACCUAAUCAGAAAGCCACGGCUAACUACGUG